AGUGUGUCCUGACUUCCAUGUGGGUCGACUUUCAUACGCACAUACUCGUCUCCUUUGAAAAGGUAAACUUCAUUCUCCAAAUGAGAAGAAAAACACGUAUCAAUUCCAUUUUCAAAGAUCGUACCUUUCAAAACAGGGAACCCUUCGCUGAUCCCAUAAAAGCGCUGAGUAAGUUUCUUGGUAUCAUAAUUAAUGCGAGCAUACUGCUUUCCCUUGAAUAUGUAAACUUCUUUGUCUCUGGUUGACCUAAAUGCACCAUCCACACCGUCAGCAAACCACGUGUUUUUAAGGUCGGGAAACAUUUCAUCGAUUGUGGUAGGACCUACGAGGAUCCUGUCGUUUCCUGUGUUCGGAGCAUAGUCUAUGUAGGCACAGUUAUUGUACGAGAAGAUAUAUGCUUCACUGCCUUCAGUGUUGAAAGAACAGUCUAUUCCUUGUUCUGCAAAUGGCGUUCCUGCAAGUGAUGUAAAACCAGUACUAACCAAUUCAAGAGGAGUCAGAAUUUCAUCACCUAAUUCUCCGGGAGUGUAAUACAGCCUCAUAUACUUGUUUUUCAUGAAGAAAUAGACUUGGAAUGGCUUUGAUGAAGGGAAUGCGGCAUUGAUAUAGACCUUGCCUGACAUUUUUCUUAACACAAGAAGAAGAAGGAGUAAGAGAAAAAAAUAGAUAGAUAGAUUUAGUUUGCUUAUUUACGUUCAUCCCAAGCCACCUAUUUAUACUGUUAUGAAAACGGAUCCUCAACCUUUUUCAUUUCUUUUCUUUACAUUUUCUUCACUCUAUACACACAUGUAGAAUUAAAAAGAUCUUGAUAUUUUUUUUAAGGUAUCAAAAUUAUCAUUUUUGUAUGGACGUAAUAAAACACAUACUGAUAAGAUCAGACAUGCAAAAAACGUAAUAAAAUUGUAAGGAAAUCAAAUUACAAAUUCUAAAACGUGAUAACAUUUGUUUAUGUGGUCCAAUUUCUUAGCUUUUUUUAAGUGUCGCUCGUCCCUUUGUUUAUGUGGUCCAAAUUCUAAAACGUGAUAACAUUUGUUUAUGUCGGCGACGUUCUUGGCUGGUGAAAGGAAGGCGCGACGGGAGAAAGGGAUUGUCGGAGAUUGAAGGAAGAGACCUUUUUCUCUUUUUCUUUUUCGUGCAUAUCUUUAGGAUUUUAGGGUUACGGAGAAGGAAAGGGUUUCCACUCCUCACGUUUUCAAUCGGAGAAGAAAUGGGAUUUGUCCAGUUUGCCCUCUAAAUUCAUUUUUUAAUACAAAAAUCAAUUCAUACUGAGUUUAGUACACGUCAAUUAAAAACUGAGUUUAACGUGGCACAUCAAUUAGAUACUAAUGCCGUUGGAUCCAAUUUAAUAAUAGACUUCUAAUUGUUAUAAUUUUUACAAAAUUAGGAUCCAAUUGAGAAACUAAAAAAUAAUGGGACGAAAUUGAAAUUUUGCUCAAAAACAAAGACUUUCUGAAUGAUUAAACCUAAAAACAUUAAUUAUGAUUAAAUCCAGUAAUUAAAAAAAGAUUUAAAUCCAAUAAUUCUAGUUCCAAUUUUCAUUUACUUUGUUUAAUUUGGUCUUCAUUUUAUUCGGAUGUUUAAUAAGAUUCUAAUUUUCGUCAAUUUCUUUUUGUAAUAACAUUUAAAUGGUUAAUGAAAAAUAAAUAACGUGUAUCAUGUUAGUUUAUAUUUUUUUAAAUUUUUUAUUUUUUAUUUAAAAAAAUUAUUUACUAUCAACUCAACAUUAUAUCUAAAUAAUACUAGUUGCCCAUAAGUUAAGUUACGAGAGACUUAUGUACUUCCCUUUCGUUAAAAUUGAAAAAUAAUACUAGAUAAAUUAAUUAUAAUAAAUAUUCUCACCAAAAUCCUAUGAAUAUUCCUAUAAUAAAUAUAAUAUUAUUCCAUAAUAAAUACAUUAAUGAACUUAAUUACCAAAGUUCAUCACUAAUUAUAUUUAAACCAAAACUAAAUUAACCUUUACUAAUAGUCAGAACUAUGUUAGCCUUAACUAAUAAUAAAAAAAAAUUAAUCCAACUUACUAAUUAAAACUAAAAACUAAAUAACAAUUAUAAUUUUAAAAUACUAAAUUUUAAUAGGUAAAAAUAUCUUGUCCACAAAGGACAACUUUUUUUUUUUUUAAAUUGUCCUUGCUUAAGAGUUCAUUGUCAGAAAAAGCUUCAACAUAUAACAGGAGUUUUGUGAUAUACUUAUUUGGAUAAAAGGAUAUUGUAUGUAAUUAUAUACUUAUUCUCUUUUUUAUACCUUUAAAUGUAUUAGAAAUUAAUAAAUACUAUAAGAAAAAUUAACGAUCAAAAUUUGUCGAUAAAUUUAAAUUAUUUGCAGUUUAUUAAUGAUAAAAAAGUUGUUGAUAAAUUUAUCGAUGCAAUCUUUGUUUUGCUACUAAUUAUCAAUUUCUAUCGGUAAAUUCAUUCAUAAUUACUGAUAGAUUUUUUUGUUGGUAAAUCUGUCGGUAAUUAUUGACAAAAAAAUUAGUAGGGAAAUUUCAUCGGUAAUUAGUGAUGAAAAAAUCUGUUGGUAAAAUUUUUCGGUAAUUAUUAAUGGAAUUUUCUAUCAACAAAAAUCGCGAUCUGUUUCAUCUUCUUUUCCUCUUUCAUUCUCAUUCUUCUUUCUUUCAUUUUUACCAAUUCAGAAGAAUGAACACAUUUCAAACAAAAUAUCUUCAAUCCAAAUUACAAGCAUUGAUAAAAUUUUGGAGAAAAAAUUAAGGUUCAUGCCAAACAGAGGCGUUGCACGAUUGGGAAAACGUUGGCUUUGGUUGGGCUUGGAGGACAACAGUUGCAUUGCACGACGAUGACAAUGCUUAGAGUGUGGAAGAGUAAGAAAAAAGACAUUGUCCCUCCCCUAUGUGUGUUAGAGAAUAAGAGGAUGGAGUGGAAGAUCUCAAUGACGUCGAUGUAGGUGAACACAAUGACCUACACUAGUAAAAAAGGAGGCUUUUAACGCGCUACAUAGGCCUCGGUUAUUACAAAACCAGAACAUAUAAAAAUGCAGUGGCGUUUAUGUAAAUAUUGAAACAUUAUAUGCCUCGGUUGGCGUCUACCUGAGGCCGUAGGCACUUUCUUCUUCGGUUAAGCUGUAGCCUGAGGCAUAUAACUUUAAUUUUAAAUUUUUUUUAAGCCUUUAGACACCGGUUUUUCUUUUAACCAGGUCAGUAGCCCUUUGUUAGGUCUGAGAAAACUUAAAAGUUACUUUCUUCCUCGUGCUCUGGUUUCUUCCUUUCUCUCUCACAUUUUCUUUUUCUCCGUUGGUGCCUCCUUGCUGCCGCCGCUGCUGCCUCUCUGGUGCUGCCGUUGCUGCCUCCCUGGUGCCGCCGUUGCUGCCUCCGGUGCUUCGUCCAAGGAGUCCACAGUGACGCCUCCCCCGCCGCUUCUCGUCGCUCCUUCGUCGCGUGCUCGCCCCUCUGUCGCGUGCUUGCCCCUCUUCGUCGCUCCUUCUAUCGCGUUUCUCUCACUGCGUCAAAGGCCGCGGCGCCACAGUUCAUCCACGCCGGCGUCUCCAUUGGGUUUGGUCUUCCUUGCGGUGACACAAAUUGGGGGUUUCCUGUGUAGGUGCGAAUUCAUGAUUAGGGAUUCCAUGGUCUAAUUUGGGGAUUUUUCUGUAGGUUUCAUGGACGAAGUACGAAGAGGUUGUUGGAGAUGAAGGAACUCUCUAUUUGGCUCACGGUGGUGAUGGUGAAGCAUCACGAUUUGGCUAUGCGAAUUGGGAAUUUUCGAAUUAAUUUUGUGAUUCUGGUUUGUAGGUUUCUUCGGAUGGAGGUUUUUUAUUGUUGGUGUGAGUGGUUUUUGGCUUUUACUGCAGGUGGUUGGAUGAUUGAUGGAGGCAUUGCAUGAGGAGGAUGAUGAAUUGGGUUCUUGGCUAGGUGUUUUUGCAGGUCUGGAAAAUUUUUUUGAUGAUGGACGAAGAAGAUGGUGGUUCGGAAAUUGGGUGGCAGGGCGAUUCUCGCGAAGGACGAAGGUGGUCUAUGGUGGUGUUUUGGGUGGUCCGAUGCGAGAAAGAUGAACCUGCAAUGGGAGAUCAUGGUGGCACAUGGUCGUGUUGGCGGUGUGUGGAGUGAAAGAUAUUCAAAAUGAACAAAGGUGCAAAUAUGGCGAUCUCGUGGUGGUCAGCGGCGUGACCAUACUGCCUCGGUUCCUUUUGAACGGAGGUCAAAUUCUACAUCGUUUUGACUUGGUUCACAGCCGAGGCAUAAGAGUGUACACUUUUUACUUCGUCUUUAUAUGCCUCGGGUGAACAGCCGGUGCCUAUAGCCAAAAGUAACCGGUGCCGUUGUCUCUUUCUGAACUACUGCUAGUUAAACGAAGAUGGAGGUGCGUUAAAGAAACUUGUACCUACGGUGGUCUGAGCUGAGAUGGAGAAUAGUGGAAGAAUGCAGAGGCUACAUCGUGUAACAAAAAUGAAGACCUGCGAAAAAGAGAGCGAAAUAAAUAAUUCUCUCGUGGAUAGAGGAAAAAUUUGGAGGAAAAUUCCCACUCUUUUUAUCGAUAGAUUUACCGACGAAAUUUUUUGUCGAUAAUUCAUAUUUUAUUUAUCGAAAAAUUUACUAACAGACGUUUUCAUUGGGAAGUGAAAUAUAUAUUACCGACACAUUUUUUUGUCGAUAAGUAAAAUAUGAGACCAACAAAUUUUUCUACGGAAAAAUCUAUCGAUAAGUGAAAAAUGGAGGUAAAAUUCUCGCUUUUUUCACUGACAAAUUUUUUUCAUUGGUAAUACAUAUUUUCUCAAUUUUUUUUUGUCGAUAAGUAAAAUAUGCAUUAUCAACUGAUUUUUUGUUGAUAAUAAAUCCAUUGAUAAAAUUAGUUGAUAAAUUGAAUUUGAAAAAUCUGUGAAUAAUAUCUAUUGAUAAUUCAAAUUUAUUUCAUAUUUAUUUCUGUGGAUAAAAUUUUGUUGAUAAUUUCAAGAAUUUUUGCAAUAAAAAUAAAUCAAAUAUGAAAAAAAAUUAAUAAACUUAUUAUUCAUAAAUAUUAAGUUAAAGAUAGUAUCUUUACCUCUUAUAAAGUUUUAAUUGUGGCUAGCUUUUAAAGUAGUUUUAAAGAUUCUUUAGCUAUUUGAUUCAAAUUAGUAAAUAAAAUAAUUUGAAGAAAAGUAAAAGAAAAUAUAUUACGUUUUUAAAUAUAAAGAUAUUGAGAUGAAAAUAUGUAAAUUUGAAAUACCACUCAUUCAACACCUUAAUUAUUCGACUACUACUUCCUGCACCCUUUUUUACUUCACGCAUCCUCUAAUUUAUAAAAUACUUGAAUCAAUAGUAAAGUGAACCAUAAUCGUCUCUUUAUAGAUAUUAAUUUAUAAAGUUAACCCUAAUUUAUAUGUAGGAAGAAAAAUAGGGAAGUGCAGGAAGAAUCACCUUAAUAUCUUUUAGAAUUAAGCAUACAAAUUACAUGAAGAUAGAAAAGGAAAAUGAAGAUAUAGACUUGUAACAUUAGGAAAAGAACGAAGCAUGCAAUAAUCCUAAUGUUACAUAUUAAAGAGGAAGAAACACACUUUGGCAAUGAAAACCUUAUUUUAGCAACAUAUUAUGAUGUUUUUAACAUCUGAUCAUACUGAUGAAGAAGGUAAUAAGGUUAUUUACGUUCAUCUCCAGCCACCUAUUUAUACUGUUAUGAAAUCGGAUCCUCAGCUUUUUUUUAUCCUGAUAUUUUUUUAUUUUGAAAAGGAUAAAAUAAUGGAAAAUAAUAAUAUUUUAGUUAUGUUUACAUUACUUCUUUAUUUAAAAGUGUAAUAAUAUAAAUUAUUAUAUUAUUAAAAAAAGGGUCAAAUGAAUAUAUUUUUAAGAAGAGUUUCCAAAAACUUUUUCCUCUUGAGUUGAUUAAUAAUUUUUUUAGGGUUAAAUAUGUUUUUGGUUCCGUAACUUUUAGUAAAAAUUGGAAUUAGUCCCUCUUCAAAAUUUUAGCCUAACUUAGUACUCCAACUUUAGAAAUAUAUAAAUUUAGUUCUUUUAACUGAACUUUUUUAGAUUUAUUCGAUAUUUUAAGCACGUUUCAUGAUAGCAUUUGGGUUGUUUAUACUAUUUGACACAUUUUUCCUUCAGUGUCAACUGAGAAACGCGUUUAAAGCAUCAAAUAAAAUUAACAAAAUUUGGUUAAAAGGAUUAAAUUCAUACAUUUAUAAAGUUGGAAGACUAAUUAAAUCAAAGUUUUGAAGAGAAACUAAUUCCAAUUUUCACUUAAAGUUAAGAGACAAAAGCAUAUUUAACUUUUUUUUAUAACAUCAAAUUACACAAAAUACAUAUUUUUAUAUUUUUCUUUAUUAAAAUAGUCAGAUCAACUUUAAGGUAUCAAAAUUUUAUUUUUGUAUGGACGUAUGUACAUAAAGCACGUGACGAAAUGUGAUAUUGAUAAGAUCAGACGUGCAAAAAACAAAUUUAAUAAUUGUCCUCUCUCCUGCCACCGAUAUUGAAAGCUGCCACACCGUAUUUCUUCUUAAAUACAUACGCCCAAAGUGUUAAUUUACAUAUGUAAUUGCGGAAUUAUGUAUGAAAAAUAAGGUGAAUUGAAAAUAAAUUUGUAUGUUUCAUUGUAUAUGAAUUUAUGAAUGUAAAACUAAGUAAAAACUAACCAUCAAGGUAAUAAUAUUUUGUAUAUUUUUCAAGAAAUUAAAUAAAUAAUGAUGUUAAUCUUCUCAUGGAAAAUGACCGAGCUAUAUAAAUCUUGCUGUAUUUUCUCACGUGUUUGGGACCAGCAUUCAAUUUUUGUCCGGUUGUUUCCUUUGUGAUAAGAUUGUAAUGAAAUUGAACUACGAAUUCUAAGACGUGAUAGCAUUUGUUUGUGCUCCAAUUUCUUAGCUUUUUAAGUUAAGUAUCGCUCAUCCCUUAAUCCUUAACCCCUCCUAGUCUCAAUAAUUAUAACAUGCACAUAAGUUAUAUAUACAUAUUAUAAUAACGUGAAUGGAGUUAUUUAUAAUUUUACUUACAAUCUAGAUUGUACUGGGGAUAUUCCGGACGAAUAAUAUGGCCGGUCUUCGGGAACAAGGAUUGAUGUAUGAAAUAAUUGAGUAAAUGUAACGGUCAGUCAUCUUAGAGAAGAGUAACUGGACGGCCAGAAACAGACGGUAGGGAAGAUCAAGGUAAGACCAGUUUAGUUAAGGUAAUUGUAUGAUUAAGACUAUUGGGCCAAGAUUGGGGCCUGAUUGGGACCACCUUAAUAUUAAGCCCAUAUCCAAAACUAUAAAUACAAGCCACAUGUACCAGGUAAGUGGGUUCAUUUAUUGCGUAUUUAAUUCUGAGCUCUGAUAACCGAUCGAACAUUUGAACUGACUUAAGCAUCAGAGUACCUUUAGCAGGUACCCUCCCGGGGCAUACGUCGGACGAGGAGGACGGACGAUCAGAGGACCAUAGGAGAGACAGACAGUAGAAAGAGAGGAAAUUGUGAAGGGUUUGUCUGACUCGACCACACACUGGAACAUAGAUAGUUUUUUUUUUAUCUUUUAAUAUCUCCACAACAAUCUAAAAUUAUUAGUCUUGUUUAUCAUGAAUUUUAGAGUAAAGAAAAAUGUCAUGUAUAAAAUUUUUUCAUGUUGGUAGGAUAAUCGCUUGAAGAGUUCUUGUCUCUGUUGUAUGUCCUCCUUGUUACUUGCUCUAAAUGAUCGAUCGGUAUAGGAGAUGACAUGCAGAAUACACAGUCAGAAUUUUUCUCUUUAUCUUUAUAGGCCUUUUGUAAUUUAAUAGUGAGUAAAAAUGAGUUUACCUCGACAUUAGCUCCUAUUUAUAGAAUUUAUAAGAAUCUAAAUUAAUUUAUCUCUUAACCGCUUAACAGUAGCUGUUGUGACAUUAAUUGUGCCAUAACUCCGUUCAAUGGUUGUCGGGACCGAACGGUCAUGAGGUGCUUUCUUGCAACCAACUGUUCAAUCUUCUCCUUCCAGCUUGAGACCGAGCGGUCAUGGGACGCUUUCUCGUUUCCUCAACCGCUCGGUCUUUUCCUUUCAGCUUGUCAUUGUUCUCGAUCACUCGAAUGUGAGCCCAUAGUAACAUAGGCCCGCCAAGCCCUAACAUAAUCUUAGUUAUGCAUAGGUUGACAAGGUUGUUAAUUACUUACUCGUGCGGUUCAUUGGCCCAAAGUAUUUUUGAUGUGCCUUAAGUUCCUGAUCUUUUAUACACCGAGCAUUUUUUACUCUAGGAGUUCACUCGGAACGUUCCUAGGUCAAAAUUCUAAGGUGAGAGCUACAAAAGCGUUCCUCACCGAACAUUUGUGAGAGCUACGAAAGCGUUCCUCACAAACCGAACGUUUGUGAGAGUUACAAAAACGUUCCUCAUAAACUGAGCAUUUUUUACUCUAAGAGUUCACUUGGAAUGUUCCCUAGGUCAAAAUGCUAAGGUGAAAGCUACAAAAGCGUUCCUCACCGAACUGUUGUGAGAGCUUCGAAAACGUUCCUCACAAACCGAACGUUUGUGAGAGCUACAAAAUUGCUCCUCACAUAUCGAGCGUAUUUAACUCUAAGAGUUCACUUGGAAUGUUCCCUAGGUCAAAAUGCUAAGGUGAGAGAUACAAAAGUGUUCUUCACCAAACAAUUGAGAGUUUCGAAAGCGUUCCUCACAAACCGAACGUUUGUGAGAGCUACGAAAGUGUUCCUCACAAACUGAGCAUUUUUUACUCUAGGACUUCACUUGGAACGUUCCUUAGAUCAAAAUGCUAAGGUGGGAGUUACAAAAGCGUUCCUCACCGAACGAUUAUGAGAGCUUCGAAAGCGUUCCUCACAAACCGAAUGUUUUUUACUCUAGGAGUUCACUUGGAAUGUUCUCUAAGUCAAAAUGCUAAGGUGAGAGCUACAAAAGCGUUCCUCACUGAACGGUUGUGAGAGCUUCAAAAGCGUUCCUUACAAACGAAACAUUUGUGAGAGCUACGAAAACAUUCCUCACAAGCUGAGCGUUUUUUACUCUAGGAGUUCACUUGGAACGUUCCCUAGGUGAAAAUACUAAGGUGAGAGCUACAAAAGCGUUCCUCACUGGACGGUGGAUACUAGGAGUUCAUUGAAAACGUUCCCUAGGUCCUAAAUGCUAAGGUGAGAGCUACGAAAGCAUUCCUCACCGAGCGGUUCACACUAGGAGUUUACUUGGAAUGUUCCAUAUGUCAAAGGUGCUCAAGUGAGAGCCACGAAAGCAUUCCUCACUAAGAGGUGGACACUAGGAGUUCACUUGGAACUUUCCCUAGGACCAAUCUUUUCAUAUAACUUCCUAAGACUUUUGAUAAAAAUCAUUUGAUAUUAUUAAUAGUAGAAUUGCAAAUACAUAAUAAUUUUUUAGAUGAAAUAUGAAGUGGAAUACCAUUCUCUGUUCUUGCCACGAUUAUGUAGUUUGUUUGGCACAAAUGCUCGCUUGCCCACCUUCAGUUCCUGGCCUGCCGAGGAUGAAGCAUUCUCUUCAUACUGCCUUUUUUGGACAACCCAUAUCUCCCUGAUUCAAAUGAACUCAACGACCUUCUCCUGCAUUUCUCCCAGGGUUAAAAGGUGGUCGAGCAAAUAAGCUAUUUGUAGAGGAGCACGACCUUAAGGCUGUUGACAAGGUGCUGAUAAUGAACUUUUUGUCAACACCUGCCUGCGAUCCGGUUGUACCGAUCCAUGAAGUCCCUCAAGCUUUCAUCUUUCCCUUAUCUGACUUUAGCCAGUUCCAUAAAGGUAAGGUUUUGCGUCUUACUAGAAGUGAACUUUCGCUCAAACAAAUGUCUCAAAGUCCCAAAACUAUCAACGGGUAUAGGACGAAGAGAGUGAAACCAUGCCAAAGUUUCUCCUUUAACCGACAAGGAAAAAACCCAGCACCAAACCCUCUCAUGAGGUGAGUAUAUCGCCAUUGCAUCCGCAAAAGACCUCAGAUGCUCCUCUGGAUCACCUGAUCCAUCAAAGUUCUAUAUAUUGGGAGGCAUCUCAUUAGGCAUUUACUCCUCCAUAAUUGCAGUUGUAAUUGAGUGAAGCGCCCCGGCCCGAGCGGAAUUAACCGGGCGGGCGAGGCAACUCCUGGAACUGUUCCCCUGAUCCGUGCCUUCUUGAUCAAAAUCUGGAAAUUCCACAAUGGGCGGCGUUUGAGCGCGUGUCGCCGACUGCUGAUUUGACUGGGCCUUCCACCCUACAUCACGCUCCGCCCUUAAAGUUUCAAUCUCAACCUGCAUGGCUUCCAUCCUCCUCUGCAUUUCCUGUAUCGCAACCCACGGGUCUUGUUGUCCUGCCAUUCUUAUGGUUUCGCUAUGGUGUCUUCAAAUAUCCUCGGCUCCAUGAUGGUCAAAAUUUUUCUUUGUAGGCAUUUUGUAAUUUGAUAAUGAGUAAAAAUGAGUUUACCUUGACAUUAGCCCCUAUUCAUAGAGUUUAUAAGAAUCUGACAAAUUAAUUUACAUCUUAAUGAUCAUUAAUGCAAACAUUAACAAUAACUGUUGUGACAUUAAUUGUUUCUUAACUCUGUUCAACGGUUGUCGGGACUGAGCGGUCAUGAGGUGCUUUCUUGCACGCCAACCGUUCGGUCCUCUCCUUCUAGCUUGAGACUGAACGGUCUUUUAUGGCGCUUUCCUGUUCGGUCUUUUCCUUUCAACUUAUUGUUCCCGAUCGGUCGAAUGUGGGUCCACAGUAACAAAAGUAAUUAUAAAAUAAUCUGAAAAUUAGAUGAGAAAUUUAUUUAUUAAUUUUCUUCCAUUAAUAAAUUUGUAGUAAAUAUUGUAAUUUGUUUAUUUUCAUCAUUUCCCAUUAUCGUAUAUUCUCAGGUUUAUCAUCACCCCAUCAUAUUUAUUAUUGUCAUUAUUGCUAUGUGACUUUCCUUUAACUCUUAGUCUUCAUUUUCUUUUCUAUUGAUGUUGUCGUUACUGUUAUUUCCAUUAUCGUCAUUACCUUCUUUUCCUUUUCUCUUAAUUCUUCUCUUCUUUUUAUUUUCACAUACUUUUAUACAGUUUUUAACAAAUAUUUUUUGAAAAAAAAAAUUAAUGCCUAUUUUACUUAUUGACGAAUUUUCAAAAACUCAACUAUUAAAAUAUUUUCAAAAAAAAUUCAAUCAAUUGAUAUAUUUACUGAGAAUUAUUAUUUUUUUUUAUAAAAAUCUAUUAUUAACGAACUUAUCACAACAUCUUCAGAGCCUAAAAUAAGAAGUUUUAAUGAUCAUUUUGUCAACAUAGUUUAUCGACAAUAACAUAUUUCAUUAGUAAAUUUUUUAAAUUAUUAACAAAUUUUACUGAUUAAUAAAUAUUUUUAUUGAUGAUUAAAAUUCAUUUGUUAAUAAAUUCUAUUUUAUUAAUAAAUUUUUUUAUUGAUAAACAUUUGAAUGAUAGAUAAUUGAAAUAUAUAUAUAUAUAUAUAUAUAUAUAUAUAUAUAUAUAUAUAUAUAUAUAUUAUUCAACCUUUUUACUUUUACCUACCUACAUAUAAUAUAAUAAUAUGAUAUAAAUACAUAUAAUAUAAUACAUAGAGAGAGCAUGUUUAACCAUUUCUCUUUUCAAACAAAUUAUUACUUAUCCAUCAGAAAUAUCAUACCAACCCAAAAUAAUAUAUAUAAGAAUAUUCUUAGAAAUGUGUAUUUGGUAAUUUUGUUUGUAAAUCUUUGAGCUAUAUUUGUUUGUUUGAUAGUUCAUUUUGUAGUAUCUUUUAAAUUUAUAUUUUUUAUUAACACCUAUAAAUAAAUACAUUUUCAUAUUUGACUUGUUUAAACAAGGUAAUUUACUUUUUUACUUCUUUCUCACUUUUUUCCUUUAACACUUUCACUUCUCACCUUUUCUCAUAAUAGAAAAGGAAUUACAAAGUAAAAUCAGUACUUUCUUUUGGAUAAUAUUUAUCUAUCUUACUCUGCAUUCCAAUAGUGUACUAUUUAAUAUGAAUAAAAUUGGUUUAAAUAUGUUUUAUGUUUUAUCUUAAAAAAAGUUCUUCUUCCUCCUCCAAAAUAAAGUUGUAAAAAGUGAUUUCAUAAGUUUUAAUUACAGGAUCAAAAUAUUUUAACAAUAUUUUUUAACAAUUUUUGAUAAAAAAUGUGUUAUCAUUUUAUUAGUCUAUUUGAAUUUAUAUAUAAAAAAUUAUUUAAAAUAGAUUAAUCAUAACCUAUUAUAUACCUUAUCAAAAAACUAUAAAAAGAAAUUGUUAAAAGAAAAAUUUAGUUUGAAAGGGACGUGGCAAUAAAAGAAAGUGAACACGUUUUUCACAUAAAGAUUUAGUUUUACGUACUAUGAACUAGGUGGUCAUACUUCUUCCGUCGUUUGUAUAUCAAUGAAGGUGACAACACUUGAAAUCAUUAGCUGCCACGAAAAAAGAAAUUUCAUAAACGUAAGACUUUCAUUUUCCUUCUCUCUCACAAUGUUUUGCAACAACUUUAUUUCAGCAUGCUAGGCGACACGCCACAUGUCACACUUUUAAUAACUUAUAGAAUUAAGCAUACAAAUUACAUGAAGAUAUAGGAAAGAAACAACCACUUACAGAAGAGGAAAACCAAAAUCUAGACUUGUAACAUUAGGAAAAGAAAGAAGCAUCCAAUAAUCCUAAUGUUACAUAUUAAAGAGAAAGAAACACACUUUGGCAAUGAAAACUUUAUUUUUGCAACAUACUAUGAUGUUUUUUAACAUCUGAUCAUACUGAUGAAGAAGGUAAGGUGAUUCAUGAGAGUGAAUCCCUUCAAUCGGUGACUGGCAAAAUGCCUUUAAGGACUGGCCAACCUUCAACGAUAAGAGUCACAUCACCCAGAAGUGUGUCCUGACUUCCAUGUGGGUCGGCUUUCAUACGCACAUACUCGUCUCCUUUGAAAAGGUAGACUUCAUUCUCCAAAUGAGAAGCAAAACACGCAUCAAUUCCAUUUUCAAAGAUCGUACUUUUCAAAACAGGGAACCCUUCGCUGAUCUCAUAAAAGCGCUGAGUAAGUUUCUUGGUAUUAUAAUCAAUGCGAGCAUACUGAUUUCCCUUGAAUAUGUAAACUUCUUUGUCUCUGGUUGACCUAAAUGCACCAUCCACGCCCUCAGCAAACACCGUGUUUUUUAGGUCGGGAAACAUUUCAGCGAUUGUGGUAGGACCUACGAGGAUCCUGUCGUUUCCUGUGUUUGGAGCAUAGUCUAUGUAGGCACAGGUCUUGUUCGAGAAGAUAUAUGCUUCACUGCCUUCAGUGUUAAAGGCACAGUCUAUUCCUUGUUCUGCAAAUGGCGUUCCUGCAAGUGAUGGAAAACCAGCACUAACCAAUUCAAGAGGAGUCAGAAGUUCCUCACCUGUUGUUCCGGGAGUGUAAUACAGCCUCACGUACUUGUUUUUCAUGAAGAAAUAGACUUGGAAUGGCAUUGAUGAAGGGAAUGCGGCAUUGAUAUAGACAGUGCCUGACAUUUUUCUUAACACAAGAAGAAGAAGGAGUAAGAGAAAAAGAUAGAUAGAUAGAUUGAGUUUGCUUAUUUUCCUUCAUCUCCAGCUACCUAUUUAUACUGUUAUGAAAUUGGAUCCUCAGCCUUUUUCUUUUCUUUACAUUUUGUUCACUCUAUACACACAUGUGGAAUUCAAAAAGAUCCUCAUAUUUUUUUACUUUUCAAAAGGAUAAAAUAAUAAUAUUUUAGUUAUGUUUACAUUACUUUUUUAUUUAAAAGGUAAUAUAAAUUGUUAUAUUUAUUAAAAAAAGGGUCAGAUGAAUAUAUUUUUAAGAAGGGUGUCCAAAAACUUUUUCCUCUUAGAGUUGUUUAAUAAAUUUUUUAUAACAUUUAAUUACACAAAAUAUAUAUUUUUAUAUUUUCUUUAUUAAAAGAGUCGGAUCAACUUUAAGGUAUCAGAAUUAUUAUUUUUGUACGGACGUAUCUGUACAUAAAGCACGUGACGAAAUGUGAUAUUGAUAAGAUCAGACAUGCAAAAACAAAUUUAAUAAUUGUCCUCUCUCUUGCCACUUAUAUUGCAUUUUCCUAAAUAAAUAUACCCAAAGUGUUAAUUUACAUAUAUAAUUGCAUAAUUCUAUAUGAAAAUACGGUUAAUUGGAAAUAAAUUUGUAUGUUUCAUUGUAUAUGAAUUUAUGAAUGUAAAACUAAGAAAAAUCUAACCAUCAACGUAAUAUAUUUUUCAAGAAAUUAAAUAAGUAAUGAUGUUAAUCUUUCACAAAGAUAACUUCAUGUGUGCAGGUUUGAUAGAAAAAUUCAUGAUGCAUCCAUAAUACAAAGAAAGAGAACAAGAAGGAGGAAAAGAGUAUAUAUAUUUCAUAUAUAUAUAUAUAUAUAUAUAUAUAUAUAUAUAUAUAUAUAUAUAUAUAUAUAUAUAUAUAUAUAUAUAUAUAUAUAUAUAUAUAUAUAUGAAAUAUAUAUAAGAUAAGAGAGGGAAAGAAUAGAAAAAUUGAAAGCAAUAAAUGAGGAGUGGUGAAGUGGUGCGGUGUAGUGGAUUUGGUUGGAAUAUUAUUUCUGACAAUCUUCUCAUCGAAAUGAAUCUUGUUGUAUUUUCUCACGUGUUUGGGAUGUUGGGAGAGGUGAAUACCUGCAAAGUUAUGAGCAACUUCGAAAUCCAAAAAAUAAGACAAGUUACCCAUUUUUUUUUUUAUUUUGAAUUGAGCAUUGAGUAUAUUGGUGAUGUGAUCAAUUUCAUGCAUAUUGUUACUGGUAAGGAUGAUAUCAUCAAUAUAAAUGAGUAAGAUAGUGAUUGUAGCACCAUUACGUUUGAUAAAAAGAGAAUGAUCACCAGAAGUUUGAGUAAACAUGUUAGAGAGAAGGAAAGAAGACAAAUUGUCAUACCAUUGGCGGCUGGCUUGUUUCAAGCCAUAGGGAGAUUUAUGUAAAAAACAUACUUUGUUGUGGUUGGAAUGAUGGAAUCCCGAAGAAGGUUGUUUUCCUAUGUACCUAGUGGAUCUCCUCGGAGAGGUAAUGCUGGUGUCAGUAUGAGUGGCAGUAACAGUAGAGGGAAUAAGUGCAGGAUGAUGGGUUUGAUGUAGGUAAUGAAAGGUAUCAUGAUGAUGGAGAGGCAAGGAUAAAGUGGAGUUUGGAGGGAAGGAGGAGGGGUAUUGGGAAAUUCAUUUUCACAAAAGGUAACAUUGCGAGAAAUCUGUAUGUCAUAGGUGUCAAGUCUAUAGAUGAUGUAUCCUUUUGUAGUAGGAUGUAAACCAAGGAAGAUGCUUGGGGUAGCCCUUCGGUCAAGUUUUUUUUCUAUGAGCUUGGAGGGUGUGCUAGUAUAACAAAUGCAUCUGAACACCCUAAGUCUAGAAAUAUCAAAAUCUUUAUGAAAGAGUUUGUCAUAUGGGGAGUUAUUAUUAAGAAGAGGAGUGUGCAUAAUGUUGAUAAGAAGAGUUGCAUAGUUAAGGGCAUAUGUCCAAAAUUGAUUAGAAUGUUUUGAGUGAAAAAGCUAGGCCCCAGUAACAUUUAAAAGGUGUUGAUGUUUUCUUUCAACAAUACCAUUUGUUGGGGUGUUUCAUUACAUGAAUUUUUGGUGAAUAAUCCCUUGAGAGUUAAAGUAAUCAUGCAUGGCAAACUCUGGCCCAUUAUUAGACCUGAUGACUUUAAUAGUUGUUCGGAAUUGAUUCUUGACAUGUUAUAUGAAAAGCAAAAGAUGAUUGCGAGCUUCAGGUUUAGCAUGCAUCAAAUGAACCCAAGUAUAUCUAGUAUGGUCAUCAACAAUAGUGAGAAAGUAUUUAUGAGAAUGUAGGGAUGCAGUGGGACAAGGUCCCCAAAUGUCAACAUGUAUGAUAUCAAAGGCAUGAGAAGCAACAUAAUUGUUUGAAGUAAAAGGCAAUUUCUUUUGCUUAGCCGUGUGGUAGGCAUUACAAUUGUUUGUCUGAGAAUUUAUGCAAGGAUAUUUUUGUGCAAGAAUACCUAAACAUUUAUCAGAUAAGUGGCCUAAGCUGUUGUGCCAAAUAUUAUUUCUAUCAGCAGUGUGUGUGUUGUGUGCAUUGGUAGGAUGUACAGAGACAACAACAUUGAGGUUAGGUCCAUGAAAAACAUAUAGGCCAGCGCGAGAGUCAACUGAACCAAUCUUGUGAUGUGUCAUUGAGUCUUGGAUAAAACAUGUGGAAUUAGUAAAAAUUACACGAACACCAUUAUGCAGAACCAAUUUGGAUAUAGAGAUCAAAUUAUAACAAAAAUCUGGAAUGUAAAGAACAUCUUUAAGACAAACUUUAUCACAGAGUUGGAUAGUUCCUUUAUGUGUAGCUUGUGUAGUGAUACCAUUAGGAAGAUUAAUUUUCACAGGUGUAAUUUGAUCAUAAGAAUGAAGAUGUUUAAGAGAGGAAACAACAUGGUCAGUGGCACCAGAGUCCAAUAUCCAUGUUGUGGUACCUGAGUCACCAACAAUAUUAAAAUGCAGAAGCGUUUUACUUGUAUUUGAGGAACUAGAAAUUAAGGAGCCAAUUUGAGGAUUGGAAACGAUAACAGCAUCAGUGUUAGGGUUUAGGAGAGCCAUAAGAGUCUGGUAUUGUUGUUUUGUGAGUCGCAUUUCAUGGUCAAUUGUUUCUCCUUGAUUGACAUUGGCAAGUUCUUGAUUUCUUGAAAGCAGACUUUUACCAUUGUAGAACUUGUGUGGGGACCCAUGCUUCUUAUAACACGCAUCAACAGUAUGAAUGGUUUUGCCACAGUGGGAACAAGAUUUUUUGUUGGGUGAAGGUUUUGCAGGAAGACCGUGCUUCUUGAAACAAACAUUAUCAGUGUGGCCAGUCUUACCACAAAAAGAACAGGUGACAGUGCUUAUAGUGGCAGUAAUAUUGUUAGAUUCCAAAUGAUUCAGAAAAGUAUUAUGCACUAAUUUCUUUCUUGUUGCAUGACAUAGGAGAAAAUUUUGGAAACAAAAGGUAUGGGAUCCAUUAGGAGGACAUGAGAUUGAAUGUUACCAUACUGUUCGUUCAAGCCUCUUAUAAAUUGCAAGGCUCGGUCCUAAUGUUUUCUUUGUGAAAUGAUGGAGAGCAUUUUGCAAGAGCAUUUGAUAUCACAGGUUCAGAUCGAGUUAGUUAUAAAAUUAUCCAAUUCGUCCCAUAUAAUGUGUAAUUUUGUGUAGAAUUCAGUGAUAAUUUGGCUGCCUUGUCUGAGAGAAGAAGCUUCUUUCUGUAGUUUUGAGAUGCGCAACAUCCCCUUGAAAAAACCUAGAUUUGAGAUCAUUCCAAAUGGCUUGGGCAUCAUCCAUCCAAAGAAUGUUGUGCCUGAUCUCUGGAGAAACGGAGUGGACCAACCAAGAGACCACCAUGUUGUUGCAUCUCUUCCAUGCAUUGUGCGAUGGGUUUUCUCUAGACGGUUCUUUAGCAGUUCCAUCAAUGAAUUGUGCUUUAUUCUUGGCACUUAACGUAGUGGUCACAAAUUUGCUCCAUGCAUGGUAAUUAUUGGAACCAAGAAGAGGAGAAACCAGAAAUGUGGCUGGGCUUUCGCUGGGAUGAAGGUAUAAAAAGCUUGAAGGAUGAUUGUUCUCGUCAUUCAUGGCGAAAUAAUUGAAAAAGAAAGUAAAAGAUCUUCAAGAACCUCACAAGACAAAAGGCAGAGAAGAUGACAGAGUAUAAGGCGCAACAGAGCUCUUCAAAUGAAGAGCUCCGAUACCAUCACAAAGAUAACUUCACAAUGACUGAUGGAAUCUGUGCAGGCUUCAUAGAAGAAUUCAUGAUGCAUCCAGAAAAGAAAGAAAGAGAACAACAAGAAGGAGACACUAGUGAAAAAACACUGUUUAACAUCACCCCUUAGACGUCAGUUUCGUGAAAAUCCGACAUCUAUUACUGCACGGUGGCAUUAUCGUAAAUAAAUUGGAAAACUAGACGUCAGUUUCGAUAUCAGGCAACGUCUAUGACAUCAUAGACGUCGCACCUGCCGCAAACUGACGUUCAAUUGCCUGAGGUAUGUGAUAAGACAGUCCAUUAACGUCAGUGUUUCAGGGGACCGAUGUCUACUAGGUUGCAAUUAAUGCUGCUGAUAACUCUCCAAAUUUACAUAUUUUUCUGUGUUUAAAGAGUCUUACUUAGCUUUUAUUUGUUCUUAAUUGUUUAGAAUUAGGCUAGUUUUAGAAUUUUUGUUUAAAAUUGUAGUUUUAUAAAAUUGUAGUUAAAAAUAGAUUUUUAGUAUAUUUUUUUAGUACAUUUGUAAAUAAUUAGAAAAUUAGUAUUUUUUUUUGAAAUUCUUUCAAUAAAAAUGUUUUGUUUUAAUUAGGUUUUAAUCACAUAAUUUUUCUUAAUUGCAUUUUAACCCUUUAAUUCAAUUUUUUUUAGAUUUGGAUCUAAUUGGGCUUGGAAAACGCUGCUACCACUGCAAUGCUUGGAGGAUUUAAAUUGAUUUGGGCCGUCGCUGGAAGCUGCACUACAAGUGAAAAUUGGGCUGCACAUUUAAUUGAGUUGUUGCAAGGGAACUGACGUUGCUGCCACCAUUAGGAUUAAUUGAAAAAGGAAUUGGGCUGGUGUUUGCACAUUAUUGGGCCGCUAGCAUGAGUUGUGCUGCGUUUAAUGAAGUGUGCGUUUUGGUGGCUGAAGAGUUGUGCAGGGUCUUGGUUAACACUUUUCAUUUGGAAAAAGGAAAGCACACUCGAGCUAAGGCAGAAGCUCACUUGAGAGAAACACCCUUUCGAGAGAAGCAAGAGCUGAAGGCACGUGAUCUAAGGAGCUGCCCAAAGAGGAUGACCAGAGCUGACCGGUGAUGCCAUGUGGAGAAUCAAAUGGUCGGGAGGCAAAGGAAAUGUUGGUCGUCAGAUUAAGAAAGCUUAUCAUGCAAGUUUCUUUCUCCCUUUUUCAUCUUUUCAUUUUUCUUUUCAACCCUAUAAAAGGGGCUUCUUUCAUGUAAAUAAAGACAGACACUUUCAGAUACAAUUUUACGCUCUGUAGAUUAGUUUUUUUUACGCUUUCUAUAGAGUAGGUUUUCGUUCUCUAAGCUUUUGGAGCGAAUCAUCGUGAUGGUGACAGCCCGUGGUGGCUUCGAUUGCACUCUUCGUUCGGUACCAUUUUUUUGUAAUUUUUGUUUCUCCUUAAUAAAAUGUUCUUUUUCUUUUGUGUUCUUUGUUUCUGUGUUGAGCAUUGUGAUUCUGUUGUGUUCUUAUUUGAUUGUGUGUUCUUGUGUUCUUAAUUGAUUGUGUUCUUGUGAUGUUUUGAGAAAAAUUGAUUUGAACUCGCAUUUGCAUAUUUUAAAUUCCUUUUUGGAAUUAUACGACCCCAAGGUGGGCGUAAAUGAACGGGAUGUCUUCCCGAGACAGAAAGAAGUUUAAUCAGUAAAAAAAUAUUCUAGUUGUGUUAAUUUCUGUCUGUGAGUGUUAAUUAGAAUAGGUUUAGUCGUGUUUCAGUUUUAAAGUUGGAAAAAAAUCAUAAACUGGAAUUGAAUUUGUUUUGUUUUGGGAAAUCAUUUGAUUGUUAUUCAUUUUAAGUUCUAUAUUAGAACUUGAGACCCCGAGGUGGGCAAUUUAUGAACGGGAUGUCUUCCUGUAUAGUAGCAAUCCAAUUGAUAAGCCAUUUCAAGCAAAAUUUAGUUCAGUUUUGUGACUUUUAUCCAACAACUUUGUUCUAUUUAGUAGUUUAGGACAUGUUCUGUUUGUAAUGGUUAGAGUUGGUUUUGAUUCAUGAGUUUCUCAUCUGAUUCUUUGCUUUCAUCAUUAGUCUAGUUAUUUCUUGUUGAUUUUUAUUUACUGUAGAUUUUACAAUUCUUUGUGCAACAAUUACCUUUCAUUUGUAGAUAUUCAUUUAGCUUUUAGGAUUUGUUUAGUUUUAAUUUCCAAGUCUAGUUGUUUGUUUACAGUUCUGAUUUUUGAUUAUUUUGAUUGCAUUUAAUUCUCAUAUUAGUUUAGGUUCUAUUUCUGUUUUAGGUAGUUUAGAAUACUGAUUUCUUAUAUUUCAUUUCAUUUCAUUUUAAUUUUCUUUUUAUCUUUUAAACAAAUUUUCUUUUUAGUUUCAUUUCUUUCCCCACCUUGUCUUGAGUUAGUUAAUAGUAAAUAAUAGAACAAAAAGCAAGAUUAACUCUACACUUUAAACUUAAUUUUACCAAGUCCUUGGAUUGAUACCUAGGUUGUCCCUAUACUUCAUUAGUGGGGAAACUUAGUUUGUUCUGAUUUUGUGCGACCAAUAUCAGUUUAACAACCGCCCAUCAAAUUCCCAGGAGCUUAGACGUCGGCUAGCAAGGACACCGACGUCUACGUCACUGACAGGAAAUCAAACGUCAAUCGGUUCAGCUUUAGACGUCGAAUAGACGUCAGAUCCCGUGAAAAAGCAACGUCGGUUGGGCUACAGUUAAUGUUGUUCACCUAAUGCCCCAGGCAAUUAGACGUCACGUAGUCAAACGCCGACGUCUAAGGCCUGUCUGGAAGGCGGGAAGACAAAAAUUCUUCAAUGUAGAUGUCAGUUCUGAGGGGCACCGACGUCUACGUUCCUGUAUUUUCACCAAAUUCGAGGGUUUUAGACGUCGGCUGUGACGGGCACCGACGUGAACUACCUUGAUAGGAAACCAAAACGUCAAUCUUUUCAGCUUCCUAGACGUCGGUUUCUGGAGCAACCGACGCCCCAUAUCAUUUUAAAUAGACCGCGGACUCUUCUCGCCAUUCAGUUUCUGAUCGCGUCUUCAUCUCUUCUCCUUUUUCUUUGCUUCUCCUCUUCUUUACUUCUCCUCUUCUUUUACUCGCUUGCGCACCUCUACUUUUUAUCUCUUGCGGCAUUGCAUUGUCGUUUCUCAUAACGUCAUUGUCUUCGUCCUCUCCUUUUUCUCUCUUGCAUCCCAGGUGCGUGGUUUUUUUUUAUGCUUACCGUUUAAACUUUCUUUAGUUUUUUAUCAAUUAUCUUGUCGUUCAACUGAUUAAAAUUUGCUUUCUUUGUGUUGUGUUUUAGUGCAGUUUUGAUCCUCUCUUUGGGUAACAUAGUGNAACAUUCUCCCUUUGCUGGUUUCCUCACAAGAAGAGUGGCGAUCUUUUGAGUUUUCUAGUUCUUCCGACCCAAAAUGGAACUUGGGUCCUUGUCUACUUCUCGACACCGUAAUUUUUUUCUGUUGCGGUUGAAUAAUGGGAAGUAGCCAUGGACCCAGGUUCGGUUUUGGGUUGAAAGCACUAGAAGAUUCAAAAGACGCAAGCAUUUUUUGUGGGGAAACUAGCGAGAGGAGAGUGUUACACAAUGCUACCGAAAGCCUGGAUCAAAACUGCACUAAAACACAAAAUUGUUGUUAGACGUCGGUUAAAGCCAUGUCCGACGUCUAUAACAACAUAGACGUCGGUUAGUGUCAUUUUAAACCUCUUUAUAUAUUCAUGUUGACGUCGGUUUAAUCAUAGGUGGACGUCUAUAUAGAGUAAUUAGACGUCGGUGUGAGUAUAAGAAUACGUCUAUAUAGACGUCGGUGGAUAUCUUUAACUGACGUUUAUAUGGAUGUCGGUUCUGAGGAAUUGCGACGUCCCAUAGACGUCACUCGUAUAGACGUCGAAUGUGAAAGUGACGUUAAAAGCUCAAAUUAACCGAUGUUAAACAGCAUUUUUGCACUAGUGAGAAGAAGAGAAAAUUGAUAUAUGUAAAAUAGAACAAAGAAGCUAACAUAUACAUAAGAUAUGAGAGAGGAAAGAAAAAAAGAAGAAGAAAGCAAUAAAUGAGGAGAGGUGAAGCGGUGCAGUGCAGUGGAUUUAGUUGGAAUAUUAUUUCUGACAAUCUUCUCAUCAAAAUGAAUCUUGCUGUAUUUUCUCACGUAUUUCGAACCAACGUUCACAUUUUGUCCGAUUGUUUCCUUUGUGAUAAGAUUGUAAAGAAAUCAAAUUACGAAUUCUAAAACGUGAUAACAUUUGUGUAUGUGGUCCAAUUUCUUAACUUUUGUAACGUUUCGUUUCAGUUUUGAAAAAAUUGAUAAAUAUCAAAAUGGUUUUGAUUCAGAGGGAACCGAUGUAUAAAAAAUAUAUUGUCUUGAUUCAAUGAGUAACUGAGACAUAAAAUUCUGCAUAACCUCAUCUGUUUUUGCAAAUCAGACUUUUUGAAAAGGUCUACUGUUUUGAUUAUCUGAUCAACUUUGAGACAAAUCUCUAAAAAGGACAUAUUAUCUCAAUACAGAUAUUGAUAAGAUUAUGAAUUAGGAAAAACAAAUUUAAUAAUUAUCCUUUUUCCUGUGUCACUAAUAUUGAAAGCUACCACACCGUAUUUCUUCUUAAAUACAUACGCCGAAAGUGUUAAUUUACAUAUAUAAUUGCAGAAUUCUGUAUGAAAAAUACGGUGAAUAGGAAAUAAAUUUGUAUGUUUCAUUGUAUAUGAAUUUAUGAAUGUGAAAACUAAGCAAAAACUAACCAUCAUUCAAUUUUUGUCUGGUAGUUUCCUUUGUGAUAAGAUUGUAAUGAAAUUGAAAUACGAAUUCUAAGACGUGAUAGCAUUUAUUCGUGUUCCAAUUUCUUAGCUUUUUAAGUUAAGUAUAAGCCAUCCCUUCAACCUUAACCCAUUGUAAUUAUAAUAGCAUGAAUGGAGCUAUUUAUUAUUGUAUUCUAACCUAGACAGUUUACCUUUACCUUUCAAAAUCUCCAAGAGAUUUAGAAAAACUGAAAAUGUCAUGUAUAAAAGUAAUUAUAAAAUGAUAUAAAAACUAGAUGAAAAAUCUCUUAUUUGUUAAUAAUUUUCCAUCAAUAAAAUUUGCACAUAAUUUUUUCUUUUUCAUUACCGUCAUAAUUAAUAGGUUGUCGUGUUUAUGACCAUCAUUAUCACGUUUAUCAUUGUCAUUGUCGUUACAUGAUUUAUCUUUAGCUUCUAUUUCUCAUCUUUCUCUUAUUGUUGUCACCUUUAUUGCAUUGUCUUGUCGUUUCCUUUUUUUUUUCUCUUUUCUUUUCUUUCUUUUUUUUCAUUCUCAUACAUUUUCAUUUAAUUUUUAAUUAAUAUUUUGUUAGAUUUGACAAAAAAAGUUAAUAUCUAUUUUAUAAUAUAACUAUCAAUGAAUUUUCAAAAACUCAAUUAUAAACAAAUUUUUAAAAAAAAUUCAAUCACCGACGACAUAUUUAGUAAUAAAUUCUAUAAGAAAAAUUGAUGAACUUUACCACAACAUGUUCAAAGUUUUAGAACGAGACUUUUGACGUCCAUUUUAUCAAUAUAAUUUAUUGAUAAAAACAUCCGUUAAUAAUAACAUUUUUUAAUUAUUGACAAAAUUUACUGAUCGAUAUUUUUGUUGAUAAUUAAAAUCCAUCAAUUAAAUUUGUCAAUAAAUUUUAUUUUAUUAAUUGAUUUUUCUGUUGAUAAAAUUUAAAAGAAUUUAGAAAAUAAAAUAUUAAAGUUGAUAAAAUAAUGAGACCCAUAGUUUAAAAUUAAAACAAUUUAAUAAUAGAAAUAGAAUUUCAUAAACUCAUUAUAAAAAAUACUCACUAUCUCUCUAAAAUGUUUUUUCUAAGUUAUUUUUUCUUUUCCUUUAUAAUUUUUAACUCUUGGAUUAUCUAUUUGAUGAUCAAAAGGUGCUUAUGGGUUGAGUUAUGGGUUGUUUUGGUCUAAAAAGAGAGUGUUGAUGAGUGAGAUUUUGAAUUAAAGGUUGAAUGAGUUUAAAUGGGUUUCUAAUUUUGUCCUAUGGCCACUUAUAACUUGUUUGUAAUUUAAAUAGGAGAAAUUUGCAUUAGAAUUGAGUUGUUGCAAUUAGAGUUUGUAUUUGUAUAGUUUCGUUCAAUUAAAGAGGUUUUAACUAGUGAAGUUUCAGUAAUAAGUAUGGGUUAGUCAACGAGGCUUGAGCGCUAGAAAUCCGAGAGGUCUAAUUCUAGCGCUCAACGCCAGUUUGCAUUUCUAGCGCUCAAGCACCAAAAUUGUGAGCAGAAUGGUGUUCAUAGGAAUGGGUACUUCAACGCCAGUUUGCAUGGUUUUCUAUUCAUUUAGCUUUUUUGGUUUCUUCUAAACAUGAAUGUGUAUCUUAUGAGACAUUAUCAUCGGUUUAAGGUUAAUGCAUGUUUCAAAGUGUGCUGUGGAUAUGAAUAUAGGAAAUUUAUGUAUCAAAAUUAUCAUUUUUGUAUGGACUUAUCUAUACAUAAAGCACGUGACGAGAUGUGAUAUUGAUGAGAUCAAACAGGCAAAAACAAAUUUAUAAAUAAUUGUCCUCUCUCUUGCCACUGAUAUUGAAAGCUACCACACCAUCCUAUACCCAAAGUUUUAAUUUACAUAUAUAACUGCAGAAUUCUGUAUGAAAAAUACUGUUAAUUGGAAAUAAAUUUGUAUGCUUCAUUGUAUAUGACUUUAUGAAUGUAAAACUAAGAAAAAACUGACCAUCAACAUAAUAAUAUUUUGUAUAUUUUCCCAGAAAUUAAAUAAAUAAUGAUGUUAAUCUUCUCAUGGAAAUGAGAGACCUAUAUAUAAAUCUUGCUGUAUUUUCUCACGUGUUUGGGACCAGCAUUCAAUUUUUGUCCGGUUGUUUCCUUUGUGAUAAGAUUGUAAUGAAAUCGAACUACGAAUUCUAAGACGUGAUAACAUUUUUUUGUGGUCCAAUUUCUUAGCUUUUUAAGUACCUUAACCCUCCUAGUCUCAAUAAUUCAACCUUUUUACUUUUACCUAUCUGCAUAAAAUAUAAUAUAGAUAUAUAUAUAUAUAUAUAUAUAUAUAUAUAUAUAUAUAAUAUAAUAAAUAUAGAGAGAAUGUUUAACCAUUUCUCUUUUCAAACACAUUAUUACUUAUCCAUCAGAAAUAUCAUACAAAACCAAAAUUAUACAUAUAAGAAUAUUCUUAGAAAUGUUUGGUAAUUUUGUUUGUAAAUCUUUGAGCUAUAUCUGUUUUUUGAUAGUUCAUUUUGUAGUAUCUUUUAAAUUUAUAUUUUUUAUUAACACCUAUAAAUAAAUACAUUUUCGUAUUUGACUUGGUUAAACAAGGAAAUUUAAGUUUUUACUUCUAUCUCUCACCUUUUUCUUCUACCACUUUCACUUCUGACCUUUUCUCACAAUAGAAAAGGAAUUACAAAGUAAAAUUGAUCUUACUCUGCAUUCCGUACUAUUUAAUCUGGAUAAAAUUUGUUUAAAUAUGUUUUAUGUUUUUUCUUAAAAAAAGUUCUUCUUCCUCCUCCAAAAUAGUGUCUUAAGAAAGUUAUAAAAAGUGAUUUCAUAAGUUUUUACUGCAUUAGAAUUCACAAAUGUUGUUCAUUUGAAAGGUACGUGGAGAUGGACGUGGCAAUAAAAGAAAGCGAACACGUUUUUCACAUAAAUAUUUAGUUUUACGUACUAUCAACAACAAGGUCCCAAACAUUCCACUACUUCUCGUACAUUUUCAGUCGUUUGUAUAUCAACGAAGGUGAUAACAAGAACCACAAUACGUGAAAUCAUUAGAAGUCUCGAAAAAAAAAAAAUUGACACAUUUAAAUUUUUUACAUUCAUUUAACAUUAUUUUUAUUUUUUUACAUUCUUUUUUAAAUAAUACAAAAAAUUACAUUUUUAUAAUCAUUUUACUCAUAUAAUAUCUAUAUUAAAUAAAUGUAAAAAUAUGUGAUAGUACCAUUACUUGAAAAAAUUUUCAUAAACGUAAGACCAUCCUGAUAUUUUUUCUAAGACAAGCAAUUAGUAUCUUUGACAACAAUUAUUCUUUUUACGUAGAUGUUUAGAAAAGGUAGAAAUGCAAAGGACAAAAACCUUAAUUCGAGCUCCGAGUAACAAAAUAUUUACAUCAACGUUGGGACUACAUUCCCGAUACCAUUACCCAGCUACAUAUAGUAAAGUAUUUGAAUGAAUUAAUUCUAUCAUUGGAUUAGAGUAAUAUAAAUAUAUAAAUUGAUAACGUAAUUAAAAAGAGUUAAGGGAAUAUAUCGACCAAUUUAAUAUCAAUUAUUAUAAUAUCAAUUAUAAUAAUUGAUAUUUAGUACUAACAAUUAAACUAAAUAAAGAAAAAGUAAAUAUACAAAAAUUAGCUAAUAAAGACUAAUUAUUACAAUUUAAAUACUUGAUAUCCUCCUGCAAGUUGGACGAUCUGGAAGAGAGAUGCAACUUGGAUAGUAAUGAGUCAAACCGAGGAUGAAGCAUAGGCUUUGUGAGUACAUAAGCAAGCUGAUCAUCAGUAGAUACAAAGGACACUCGAAACAUGCCUUUUUGAACAUUUUCAUGAACAAAAUGAUAGGCUAAGGCUAUAUGUUUCUUCCGAGGGUGAAAAACAGGAUUAGCACUCAGAGUUGUGGCACUAAGAUUGUCACAAUAGAUAACCGGAUUGGUUGUGGGCAUGUGACCAAGUUCAGUGAACAAGGAUAGGACCCAUAGAAGUUCACUGGCCAUGUCAGUCAAGGCUUUGUAUUCUGCUUCAGUUGAGGAACGAGCAACAAAGCGUUGUUUUUGGGAGCUCCAAGAGAUGAUAGUGCUACCAAGAUACAACAAAUAACCAGUGGUAGAAAUAUAAUCAUCCUUAUCACCCGCCCAAUCUGCAUCUAAGUAAGCAUGAAAGGUUAGCGAAGUAGUUGUCGAGAUGAAGAUACCUUUGUUGCAAGAGCCCGCCAAAUAACGAAGCACCCGUUUGAGGCAGACCAAUGUGCCGUUGUGGGGUGUUGCAUGAACUGUGCAAGUUUGUUGGUGCUGAAGGCGAUGUCCGGGCGAGUAAGACUUAAGUAUUGAAGAUUUCCCACGAGUGCGCGAUACUCAGUUGGGCAAGGUAGGAGAUCACCAGAAUCCUUGAGUAAUUAAGCACUGGUGGAGAAGGGAGUGGAUGCUGAUUUUGUGUUAGCCAUGCCUGAUUUAUGGAGUAGAUCAAUGAUGUAUUUCCUUUGUGGAAGAAAUAGUCCUGUAAUGGAAGGAAUUACUUUGACGCCCAAGAAAUAGUUAAGACAACCAAGGUCUUUCAGCGAAAAUCAAGCAUCAAUGGUGGAAAUAAGGUUGGACAGCUUUGUAGAGGAACUCCCAAUGAUAAUGAUAUCAUCAACAUAUACUAAUAAAUAUAGUGUGGAACGUAAUUUUUGGUAGAUGAAGAAAGAUGCAUCUGUAGUUGAAUUGACAAAGCCAAGAGAAAGUAGAAACACUCGAAGCUCCGUAUACCAGGCGCGAGGUGCUUGCUUUAGCCCAUAGAGUGCCUUUUUGAGGCGACAAAUAUGAUCAGGGAAACUUUUGUUGACAAAACCAGGGGGCUAGAGCAUGAAAACUUCCUCUUUGAGCGUCCCUUGAAGAAAUGUAUUAUUGACAUCAAGUUGGCGAAUGGGCCAUCCUUGACGAACUGCAAGUGUGAGGACAAUGCGAGUGGUGACCGGUUUAACAACCAAUUUAACAAUGCGAGGCCAACUUUUUUUCUUUAUUUUUUAAAUUGUCCUGUUGCUUAAGAGUUCAUCAUCAGAAGAAGCUUUAACAUAUAUAAUAAGUUUUUUGUGGUAUACUUUAUGUUAUCGAGAUAGAAGGAAAUUGUCUCUAAUUGUAUUCUUGUUCUCUUUUUUAUAUCUCUAAAUUUAUUAAAGAUUAAUAAAUACUAUAAGAAAAUUGAUAUCACCAAUGGUCAAAAUUCGUCGAUAAAUUAAAAUUAUCAACGAUAAAAAUUCUAUCGAUAAGAGUCAGUAGUACAGAAAGAGCUUUAGACGUCUGUUAUUUUGGGCUUUUAACGUCACAUCCAUACACGACGUCUUUAUGGGUGACGUUAAUAGGGCGUGAGACUCUGCAGGUCUGACGUCUUUAUAGACGCCUAUUAAAUGCCAUGUCCCACGUCUAUAAAGAUGUCAGACAUGUCACUACCCGACGUCUAAGGGCACUAUAAAGACAUUGGAUAUGACACUACCCCACGUCUAAGGGCACUAUAAAGACAUCGGACAUGACACUAACUGACGUAUAAGGGCACAAUAGACGUCGGAUAUGGCUUUAACCAACGUCUACUGGGUUUUCGUUGUGUUUUAAUGGAGUUUUGCUCAUGUCUUUGGGUAGUGUAGUAGCACCUCCUCCCUUUGCUAGCUUCUUCGUAAGAAAAAAUUGUGACUUUUGCAUCUCUUAUGGCAUUUCAACCCAAAACCGAAAUUGGGUCAUUGCCUAAUUUCAUUCCAACCGUCAAAGAAAAAGAAUACAAUGGCAUGAAAACUAGGCAAGGACCCAGGUUCGGCUUUGGGUUGAAAUGUCAUAAGAGAUCCAAAAAGACGCAAACUUUUCUUACGAGGAAUCUAGCAAAGGGAGAAGGUGCACUAUGCUACCCAACGACACGAGAAAAACUGCACCAAAACACAAUGAAAACUCAUUUUAAACGUAAGUUUAAAAGGUUCAAAAGAGAUCAAACGCACUUGGAAAUGCAAUGCGCAGAGAGAAAAGGCGAAGGAAGAUGAUGAAGUGUGCGUAACUGCUAGUUCGCAAUGUCCUAUUUAACAGGAAAUCAGACGUUGGUUUCCCAGCGACUGAUGUCUAUUCUCGAAUAUAAGUCGGGGACCUCACUAAUGUGACAUCCAUUCGAUUUAAAAAUUAAUAUUCGUGGUAUAUAUAGACGUUAGGUGUAAUGGGAGCCGACGUCUGUAAUUGAAUAUGGACGUCGGGGUGGCGGGAUCAAACGUCUAGAUGGCGGAAAGAAGUGACUUUUCACCUACCUAUCAGGAAUAUAUACGUCGGUUAGGGGGUACCGACGUCUAUAAUAUUAUAGAUGUCGGUGCCCCUUCUAACCGACGUCUAUAUGACGGAAAGAAAUGACUUUUCACCUACUUGUCAGACAUAUAUACGUCAGUUAAUAGGGGCCCCGACGUCUAUAAUAUUAUAGACAUCGGGGCCCCAUCGACCCAACGUCGAUAUCCCAACUUAUUUAAGAAAAUGCCACCGGUCAAUAAUUUAAGUUGGGUUUUUUCUGGUCUGAUGUCUAUGGGUGACGUUAAAGCCUAAUUUUGCACUAGUGAGUAUUGUUGUUGAUAAAUUUGUUAACAAAUUUUUUGUUACCAACAAAUUUUUCCAUUUGUACAUUUGUUGGUAAUUAUCAAUGAAUUUUUACGUCGAUGAAUUUGUCAGUAAUUAUUGGCAAAAAAAUUCGUAGGUAUUCCGUUGGUAAUUAUCGAUAAAGAAAUUUGUUGAUAAAAUCUGUUGGUAAUUAUUGAUGAAAUUUUUCGUUGGUAAAUAUUACAAUCUAGUUCAUCAUCUUCCUCGCUCUCCCUCUUCUUCUUCUUUCUUUCAAUUUUAUCAAUUCAGAAAAAUGAACACAUUCCAAACAAAAUAUGAAUCCUUCACUACAAGCUUUGAUAAAAUUUUGGGAAAAAAAUUAUGAAAGUUCAUGUCAAACAGCAGCUUUGCCGAUGGUGGAAAACGUUGGCUUUGGUCAAGAUUAGAGUGGACAAUAACUGCAUUGCCUGAUGAUGGUAGUGCUUGGAGUGAAAAAGAGGAAGAAAAGAGAUAUUGGUCCUCCCAUGCGCGUGUUAGAGAAGAAGAAAAUGAAGUGGAAGACCUUAAUGACGUCGGUGUAGGUAGAGACGAUGACCUGGUUGGAUAGAGAUGGAGACAUGUCAAAGGAGUUUGUAGCUACGGUGACUUGAGCUAAAUGGAGAAGUGGAGGAAUACAAAUGCUCCAUCGUGCAACAAAAAUGAAGACAUGUAAGAAAGAGCGAAAUAAAUAAUUCUCUCCCGGACAAAGGGAAAAAAUGGGCAAAAAUUCAUAUUUUGUCAGUAAUUCAUAUUUCAUUUAUUGUCUAUUGGUAAAUAAAAAAAAUAGAAGGGAAAAUUUUGGUUCUUUUUACCGAUAAAGUUUUCUAUGGAUAAUAUAUUUCUCAUUUAGUGUCAGAUUUUAUUGAAAAAUUUUUCAAUAGGUAAGAGAAAUAUACGUUAACGACAUGAAUUCAUCGGUAAAAUUUGUCUCUAAUUCGAAUUUACUGACCAAUUUGUUUUCUUCAAUAAAAUUCAACAGGUAAUUUCAAGAAUUUUUGUAGUAAAAAUAAUUCAAAUAUAAAAAAGAAAAUUAUAAAACUUAUUGUUCAUAAAUAUUAAGUUAAAGAUAAUAUCUUUACCUCUUAUAAAGUUUUAAUUGUGGCUAUUUUUUAAAGUACUUUUCUCACAAAACCGCACUUUUAGAAUUAAGCACCUAUACAUUCACAAUCUUUGCUGAACCCAACACCACACUUUUAGAAUUAAGCAUACAAAUUACAUAAAGAUAGGAAAGAAACAAUCACUUACAGAAAAGGAAAACGAACAUCCAGACUUGUAACAUUAGGAAAAGAUCCUAUAAUCCUAAUGUUACAUAUUAAAGAGAAAGAAACACACUUUGGCAAUGAAAACCUUAUUUGCAACAUAUUAUGACAUUUUUGGUGAUUCAUGAUAGUGAAUCCCUUCAUUCGGUGACUGGCAAAAUGCCUUUAAGGGGUGGCCAACCUUCAACGAUAGGAGUCACAGCACUCACAAGUGUGUCAUUAGUUUCAUGUGGGGUGACUUUCAUACGCACAUAGUGAUCUCCUUUGAAAAGGUAAACUUCAUUCUCCAAAUGAGAAGAAAAACACGCAUCAAUUCCAUUUUCAAAGAUCGUACCUUUCAAAACAGGGAACCCUUCGGUGAUGUCAAGAAUGUCGAUAAUACGCUUAUUGGUAUCAUAAGUAAUGCGAGUAUACUUCGCUCCCUUGAAUAUGUAAACUUCUUUCCCUAUGCUUGACCUAAAUGCACCGUCCACGCCCUCAGCAAACACCGUGUUUGUUAGGUCGGGAAACAUUUCAGCGAUUGUGAUAGGACCUACGAGGAUCCUGUCGUUUCCUGUGUUUGGAGCAUAGUCUAUGUAGGCACAGUUCUUGUCUGAGAAGAUAUAUGCUUCACUGCCUUCAGUGUUGAAGGAACAGUCUAUUCCUUGUUCUGCAAACGGCGUUCCUGCAAGUGAUGGAAAACCAGCACUAACCAAUUCAAGAGGAGUCAUAAGUUCAUCACCUAAUGCUCCGGGAGUGUAAUACAGCCUCACGUACUUGUUUUUCAUGAAGAAAUAGACUUGGAAUGGCUUUGAUGAAGGCAAUGCGGCAUCGAUAUAAACAGGGUCUGACAUUUUUCUUAACACAAGAAGAAGAAGAAGGAGUAAGAGAAAAAGAUAGAUAGAUAGAUUUAGUAUGCUUAUUUACGUUCCUCUCAGCCACCUAUUUAUACUCUUAUGAAAUCGGAUCCUCGGCCUUGUUCACUCUAUACACAUGUAGAAUUAAAAAUGAUCCUGAUAUUUUUUAUUUUAAAAAGGACAAAAUAACGGAAAAUAAUAAUAUUUUAGUUAUGUUUACAUUACUUUUUUAUUUAAAAGUGUAAUAUAAAUUAUUAUAUUAUUACAAAAAAGGGUCAAAUGAAUAUAUUUUUAAGUAGGGUGUCCAAAAACUUUUUCUUCUUGAAUGUUUAAUAAUUUUUUUAUAACAUUUAAUUACGCAAAAUAUAUAUUUUUUAAUUUUUCUUUAUUAAAAUAGUGAGAUCAACUUUAAGGUAUCAAAAUUAUCAUUUUUGUAUGAACUUAUCUGUACAUAAAGCACGUGACGAAAUGCGAUAUUGAUAAGAUCAGACAUGCAAAAACAAAUUUAAUAAUUGUCCUCUCUCUCGCCGCUUAAAUAAAUAUACCGAAAGUUUUAAUUUGCAUAUAUAGCUGCAGAAUUCUGUAUGAAAAAUACGGUGAAUUUAAAAUAAAUUUGUAUGUUUCAUAUUGUAUAUGAAUUUAUGAAUGUAAAACUAAGAAAAAACUAAUCAUCAAAGUAAUAAUAUUUUGUAUAUUUUUCAAGAAAUUAAAUAAACAAUGAUGUUAAUCUUCUCGUGGAAAUGAAAGACCUAUAUAUAAAUCUUGCUGUAUUUUCUCACGUGUUUGGGACCAACAUUCAAAUUUUGUCCGGUUGUUUCCUUUGUAAUAAGAUUGUAAUGAAAUUGAACUACGAAUUCUAAGACGUGAUAGCAUUUUUUUGUGCUCCAAUUUCUUAGCUUUUUAAGUUAAGUACCUUAACCCUCCUAGUCUCAAUAAUUCAACCUUUUUACUUUUACCUAUCUGCAUAAAAUAUAAUAUAGAUAUAUAUAAUAUAAUAUAUAUAGAGAGAAUGUUUAACCAUUUCUCUUUUCAAACACAUUAUUAUUUAUCCAUCAGAAAUAUCAUACAAAACCAAAAUUAUGUUAUAAUAUAUUGCAAAAUAAGUAAACGUUGCAUUGCAACGUUAAUAUUUGCCAACAUUAAAUUUCUUAAUUGCCAACGUUAUUUAAUAACAACGUUCAAAUAAUUUUGAAGCAAGGUUAUUAUUUUUAUGUUUUUAAUGUUUUUAAUUUCUUUUAUUUAAAUUGAUUCUUUCUUAACUAUAUAAAUAGAGAGUUUUUUCCCAUUUCAAAACACAUCAAAGUAUUUAUCUCAUUCUCCCUUUGUCUCAUUCUUUCUUCUCUUUUCCCUUUUCUAAAAAUCUGGAUUAUUUUUAUACUUUGUUUAGAGUUUCUUGCUAGUUCUAAGAUCCUCAAAAAUUUUCUGAGAAGUUCAUGUUGUAUCAUAGGGGACUUGCGUAACACGGGGACUUGCGUAACACACCAAUAGUAAGUGUGAUAUAUGUGUAGAAUCUAAAAUAACAAAGAAAACAUGUUUUUCUGUAGAAUGUCAAACUGAAACAAACCAUGUCUAUAGAGGAGGUAAAAAUUAUUUUGUGACCUUUAUAGAUGAUUUUUCUCGAUACAUCAAAGUUUACUUAAUCAAACAUAAAGAUGAAACCUUUAAUGUGUUUUUAACCUAUAAAGCAGAAGUAGAAAAUCAGCUAUAAGAAAAUUAAGAGGGUUAGAUCAGAUAGAGGUGGUGAGUAUGUGUUGUUUAAUGAAUUUUGUGUUAGAGAAGGGAUUAUCCAUGAAGUGACCCCACCAUAUUCACCCGAGUCUAAUGGAGUAGUUGAGAGGAAAAAUAGAACCCUUAAGGAAAUUAUGAAUGUUAUGCUUGUUAGUUCUAGUGCACCUGAUAACCUUUGGGGAGAAGCCUUGCUUAUAACCUUUGGGGAGAAGCCUUGCUUACUACAUGUUUUUUACAAAAUAGGAUACCCCAUACGAAAACUGGUAAAACUCCUUAUGAGUUGUGGAAAGGUUACCAACCUAACCUUAAAUAUCUAAGAGUGUGGGGGUGCCUAGCUAAGGUAAUGUUACCCGAUCCUAAGAAAAGGAAAAUAUGAUCUAAAAUUGUUGAUUGCGUGUUCUUAGGUUAUGCUGAACAUAGUGCUGCCUAUAGGUUUCUAGUUGUUAAAAGUAACAUACUUGAGAGAAAUUCUAUAAUGGAGACGAAAAAUGCUCAGUUUUUUGAACAUGUGUUUCCCUUAAAGGUUAGUGAGAUGUCUCAACCUGUUGAUGAUAAUGAUAAUAAUAAUAAUAAUAGUUAUACCAUGAAUGAGGAUUUGAGAAGAAGUAAAAGACAGAGAUAAGAAACUUCCUUUGGAGAUGACUUUUAUACUUAUCUUGUUGAUAAUGAUCCAACUAGCUUUGUAGAAGCUACUAGUGCUCCUGAUGCAAAACAUUGUGAUAAGGCCAUUAAGACUGAAAUUGAAUCAAUUUGGAAAAACAAUACUUGGACUUUAGUAGAUUUGCCUAAAGGAGCAAAACCCAUAGGUUGUAAAUGGAUCUUUAAGAAAAAAUAUCACCCUGAUGGAUCCAUAUAGAAAAAUAUAAGGCGAGAUUAGUAGCAAAAGGAUUGACUCAAAAAUCCAACAUAGAUUACUUUGAUAUUUUUGCUCUUUUGACUAGGAUUUCCUCUAUCCGAGUGUUGUUAGCUCUAACAAUUAUCCAUAAACUAGUGAUACAUCAGAUGGAUGUUAAAACAACCUUUUUGAAUGGUGAUUUAGAGGAGGAAAUUUAUAUGACUCAACCUAAAAGGUGUGUUAUACUUGGUCAAGAGGAUAAAGUUUGUAAACUCUUAAAAUCCUUGUAUGGGUUGAAACAAGCACCAAAACAAUGGCAUGAAAAACUUGAUAAUGUGUUGCUUUGUGAUGGUUUUCCACCUAAUGAUGCUGAUAAAUGUGUGUACUCUAAAUAUGAAAAUGGUGAUAGUGUCAUUAUAUGCUUGUAUGUGGAUGACAUGUUAAUAUUUGGUACAUGCAAUGAGAUUGUCGUUAGAACUAAAUUGUUUCUAGGAUCAAAAUUUGAAAUGAACGACAUGGAUGAAGCCAAUGUGUUUUAGGUUUUAGAAUCAUAAGAAAGGAAGGUAGUAUAUUACUAUCUCAAGAACAAUACGUUCAGAAACUUCUUAAGAAGUUUAGGUUUUAUGACUUAAAACUAGUGAGUACCCCUUAUGAUGCUAAUUCUAAUUUAAUGAGCUUUUCUAGACCUGAUAUUGCUUAUGCAGUAGGUAGACCGAGUAAGUACACUCAAUGUCCAAAUCAGGAACAUUGGGAUGCACUUGCUAGGCUUAUGAGAUACUUAAGAGGUUCAAUGGAUUAUGCCAUUGAAUACAGUGGAUUUCCUGUUGUACUAGAAGGAUACAGUGAUGCUAACUGGAUUUCUGAUUCAGAUGAGACAAAAUCCACUAGUGAUUAUGUAUUCACACUUGGGGGGGGGUGCGAUUACAUGGAGAUUAGCCAAGCAAACUAUUAUUGCAAGACCAACAAUGGAAUCUGAGUUUGUUGCUCUUGAGAUGGCUGGUAAUGAUGCUGAGUGGUUGAAAAACUUCUUAGCGAACAUUCCACUAGGAAUGAAACCAACCCCAUCGGUAUCAAUUCACUGUGAUUGCCAAUUGACAAUAACUAUAGCUAAAAACAAGAAUUACAAUGGAAAGAAUAGACAUAUACAAUUGAGAUACAAUUUGGUGAAGCAGCUGCUAAAGAGUUGAACCAUUUCCAUUGAUUAUGUGAAGUCAAAACGGAAUCUAGCGGAUCCUCUGACAAAACCCUUGGGAAGACAAAUGAUAUUGGAAACAUCGAGGGAAAUGAGACUUAAGCUACUUGCAGAUAAACAAGUGAUGGUAACCCAACCUUUGUGAUUGGAAGUCUUAUGAAUAAGGUUCAUAUGGGUAAAAACAAGUCACUUGUUAGUUCUGAUAGUACUAAAUUGAUUUUAAUCAAUUUUUUUCAAAAAAUAAUAAUUUAGACAACGGUUUUAGUAAAAAUCGAGACAAUAGAUCCAAUUUUUUUUGCUUUAUAGCUUCGGAUUUUUUGAGCCGAAAUCUUUCUGUCUCGAUUUUUUAAUAUCGUAACCAUUAUCAUAUUUAUUAUUGUAAAAAUUGCUAUGUAAUUUUAGCUCUUACUCUUCAUUUUUUUAUUGUUAUUGUUGUCCUUACUGUUACUUCCAUUGUCGUGAUUACCUCCUCUUCCUUUUCUCCUAGUUCUUCACUUCUUCUUUUCACAUACUUCUAUAUAGUUUUUAACAAAUAUUUCAUUAUAUUUUACAAAAAAAUUAAUGUCUAUUCUACUAAAUAAUUGUUAUAAAUUUUCAAAAACUCAACUAUUAUAAUUUUUUUAAAAGAAUUCAAACAUUAUAUAUUUACUGACAAUUUUUUUAAAAAAAUCUAUUAUUAACUUCUUCUAUCACAACAUUUUUAGAGUCUAAAAUAAGAAUUUUAAUUAUCAUUUUGUCAACAUAAUUUACCGACAAAAACAUAUUUCAAUAGUAAAAAUUUUAAAUUAUUAAUAACUUUUACUGAGAAAUUUAUUACUAAUAAAUAUUUUUAUUGAUAAUUAAAAUUCAUUUGUUGAUAAAUUCUAUUUUAUUAAUAAAUUUAUUUACCGGUAUUUGAAUGAUAGAUAAUUGAAAUAUAUAUAUAUAUAUAUAUAUAUAUAUAUAUAUAUAUAUAUAUAUAUAUAUUAUUCAACCUUUUUACUUUUACCUAUUUACAUAUAAUAUAAUAUAAAUAUAUAUAAUAUAAUAUAUAAAGAGAUAAUGUUUAACCAUUUCUCUUUUCAAACACAUUAUCCAUCAGAAAUAUCAUAACAACCCAAAAUUAUACAUAUAAGAAUAUUGUUAGAAAUAUUUAUUUACGUUCAUCUCCAGCCACCUAUUUAUACUGUUAUGAAAUCGGAUCCUCAGCUUUUUUUUUUUUCUUUUCUUUUCUUUACAUUUUGUUCAUAUACACAUGUAGAAUUCAAAAAGAUCGUAAUAUUAUUCAUAUUGAAAAAGGAUAAAUUAACGGAAAAUAAUAAUAUUUUAGUUAUGUUUACAUUAUUUUUUAUUUAAAAGCGUAAUAUAAAUUAUUAUACUAUUAAAAAAAAAGGGGUCAAAUGAAUAUAUUUUUAAGAAGGGUGUCCAAAAACUUUUUCCUCUUGAGUUGUUUAAUUAUUUUUUUAAAAUAUCUAUUUUUAUAUUUUUUUUAUUAAAAUAGUCAAAUCAAUUUUAAGGUAUCAAAAUUAUCAUUUUUGUCGGGACUUAUCUAUACAUAAAGCACGUGCGAGAUGUGAUAUUGAUAAGAUCAAACGGGCAAAAGCAAAUUUAUAAAUAAUUGUCCUUUCUCUUGCCACUGAUAGCUACCACACAGUAUUUCUUCUUAAAUAAAUAUACCCAAAGUUUUAAUUUACAUAUAUAACUGCAGAAUUCUGUAUGAAAAAUACUGUUAAUUGGAAAUAAAUUUGUAUGUUUCAUUGUAUAUGAAUUUAUGAAUGUAAAACUAAGAAAAAAAUGACCAUCAACAUAAUAAUAUUUUGUAUAUUUUCCAAGAAAUUAAAUAAAUAAUGAUGUUAAUCUUCUCAUCGAAAUGACAGACCUAUAUAUAAAUCUUUCUGUAUUUUCUCACGUGUUUGGGACGAGCUUUCAAUUUUUGUCUGGUUGUAAUGAAAUCGAACUACGAAUUCUAAGACGUGAUAACAUUUGUUUGUGGUCCAAUUUCUUAGCUUUUUAAGUUAAGUAUGGCUCAUCGCUUAAACCUUAAACCCUCCUACUCGCAAUAAUUAUAACAUGCACAAAUAUAUAUAUAUAUAUAUAUAUAUUAAUAACAUGCAUGAAGCUAUUUAUAAUUUUACUUAUAACCUAGAUAGUUUACUUUUAUUAAUAUAUCUCCACAACAAUCUAAAAGUGUUAAUCAUGUUUAUAAUGAAUUUGAAGGAGAAUGUCAUGUAUCAAAGUAAUUAUAAAAUGAUUAAAAAAUUAGAUGAAAACUUUUAUUUAUUAAUUUUUUUCCACUAAUAAAAUUUGUAGAAAAAUAUUAUAAUUUAAUUUUUUUAUUAUUAUAUUCCAUUAUCGUUUGUUUUCAUAUUUACAUAUCAUAUUUAUUAUUGUUAUUAUGGCUAUGUGACUUGUCUUNAGCUCUUACUCAUGUUGUUGUAAUGUUGUCACUUUCAUUUUCGUGAUCACCUCCUCUUCCUUUUUUUUUCAUAAUUAUUCACUUCUUAUUUUUACAUACUUCUAUAUAGUUUUUAACAAANAUUUCAUUAUAUUUGACAAGAAAAUUGAUGUCUAUUUUAGUGACAUAAUUAUUGAUAAAUUUUUAAAAACUUAACCAAAGUAAUAAAGNGUCUAUGACCUCGGUUAAACAGGCAAUUGUUGCCAUAAGAUCUGUGUACAUGACAAGUAAAGACUUUUCAUUUGUCAAAAAUAUUUGUACAGAGUUCUUGGCCCUGGUUGUUUUCAAAACCGAGGUCGUAGAUCCUCUGCUCCAAUUGACAUUCUCAUUUGUAGUCUGACGAAAAUCUCUGUGCAAGGCUUCUGGCCUCGGUUGUUUUCAGAACUGAGGCCACAACUCCACUGCCAAACCCUGACAUUCCUCUUUACACUGACGUUUGAACUGACAAACUAUAUGAAAGAGGUAUACGACCUCGAUUCUGCAGACAACCGAGGUCAUAGCCCCCUUCUUUUGACCCUUUUUAAAUAAUUAAAAUAUAAUGUUUUUUGGUUUUUGGCACUGGUUUUAUUUGAACUGAGGUAAUAUGGAAAUUUUGUCUCAGUUUGGCAAGGACCCGAGAUAAAAUUGUUGAAAAAAACUGCAAAAUUGUCACUUCAAAUUAUUUUUGAGUUUUUUUCUGGGGACUUUAGGCCUUGGUUGUUUAUAGAGCUGAGGUCAUAAACCUUUUACUGCUUCGGUUUUAAUUUUAANUGAGGCAGUAUCCCUUGCCAGGGUUAAAUUUUCUUGAAAGCGAAUAGUGCCAUCUUAUGCACUGAUCCUCUGCAUUCUUUCUUUGCACUUCUCACCCCAUCGCGACUCUGUUCUUUUUUUGCAGUUCUUGACGCUAUUCUUUGUGCCACCAUUGUCAUUGUUGACGGCGUUCUUUGCUCAUUUUUCCUCGCGAACGUUUUCAUCCGAUCAAAUUUAGCUUUCGUUGCCAUGGUUAGAACCACUUUCUUCCUUUUAUUAUUUUUGCAUUUUUGGAUUGUUUUGAUACAUUUUUUUGAUUAUUUUGAUGUGUUUUUUUAUUGUUAUGGAUGAUCAGACUAACUUUUUGUUGUAUUUGUGUUUAGGUAUUGUGUUUUUGCUAUGAAAUUUGUUUCGUUCCAAAACUAGGGUAGUCAAAUCUUCUCUAUAGUUGUUUGCUUUUUCACGCCUAUUAUUGUGUUUAUUAAUUUUCUUUUGUAAAAGUUUAAUGUUUUGUAUGUUGAAUAUAUAUAAUUAUGUAUGAUCGAAUGAGAUAGGAUCAAACCUUGAAUACACAAACGAUCAAAUUGAUCAUUUAAGAUUAUUUAAAUAUUGUAGACAAUUUCAGUAUAUUUAUGUAUGAAUUGAGAUUGAAUUAAUUUGCCACGUAUUAAUGUUAAGUACGAAAGAAGGGUAAAAGAAUUUAUACAAUUUGUGCAACGUAAUGAAGGUAGAAGUGAUGAUGAAGUGAAGUUUAAAUGUCCUUGUGUCAACAGUUUGAAUGAGAGAAAAUUGAACAAACCAAAAUUAGGAAACAUCUUAUUUGUGAUGGUUUCCUAUGAUGGAUGUUAUAAAACAUGGAUAUAGCAUAACCUUAACUUUAACCUCAAACUUUUCACCACUUUCCUUUCUCAAGCUCAAACAUUGUCAAAAUGCAUAACCGUGUUGUCUUCUCAAAUUUUCCUACGCCAGUAGGCACCAACACCUUUCUUUCUUUUUAACUUAUGACAUCAUUGAUAUACAAAACCAUGUUGAUUUCUCAAGUCUUGAUACACCAGUAUUUAUUCGAAACUUCUCUUAUUUUAGCCUUUCUUGUAAAGCUUGUGAUUUCUACUCCUCUAACUCUAUUCUUACAAUUCCUUCAACUCAAAAGUAGCUUCUGAACUCCAAUAUACUUUUUGGUAAGAAUUAUCCAUAAAGUUAUAAAAUUAUUUUUACGGAUUAAAUUAAAUCCAUGAUAAUAAGUGUAUAAACUAAAUCAAACCAACAACUUUUAUUUAUUAUCAAGUGCACAAAUCACACGGUGAUAGGAAACAAACAUCGAAACGAAACACAAACAUUAAGACAUGUUACAUUAGGACAGGAAACAGGCAUCCAAUCCCAAUGUUAGAUUAAAGAGAAAGAAACAAACUUUGGCAAUGGAAGCCUUAUUCGUAGCAUAUUAUAACACCAUUUAUUGAGAUGAGGCUCACGAGAAUGAAGGCUUGUUUAGUUCACAGGCAAAAUGCCAUUAAGAACAGACCAACCAUCAAGGAUAAGCUUGAUAUCACCGAUAAGAGUGUCAUCAUAUGUACCUGGGCUGAAUUUGAAACGCACAUACUUGUCUCCUUUGAAAAGGUAAGCUUCAGACUCCUUAUGAGAAGCAAAACACGCAUCGAUUCCACUUUCAAAGAUGGUACCAUUCAGAACAGGAAAGCCAUCAGCGAUGUUGCGAAUGCUGCCAACAAGCUGCUUGGAAUCAUAGUCUAUGCGAACAUACUUAGUGCCCUUGAAUAAGUAAACUUCUUUUCCUAUGGUGGAUCUAAGUGCAGAGUCUAUGCCAUCCGCAAACACCGUGUUUCUGAGGACAGGAAACAUUUGAGCAAUAGUGGUAGGACCUGCGAGUAUCUUGUCAUUAUGUGUACCUGGAGCAUAGUCUAUGUAGGCACAGAUGUUGCCGGAGAACACGUAUGCUUCACUCGCUUCAGUGUCAAAGGAAGCGUCUAUUCCAGGUUCUGCAAAUGGUGUUCCUGCAAGUGAUGGAAAACCACUACUAAUCAAGGUGAGAUUAGUUAAAAUCUCAUCAUAUCCUCCGGGAGUGUAUUUCAAGCGCACAUACUUGUUCUUGGCGAAGAAAUACACUUCAUAUUCUCUUGAUGAACGAAGUGCAGCAUUGAUAUAAGGGUCUGACAUCUUUCUCGACAAAAGAAGAGGAAGUAAUUGUAUAGAGAGAUAUGAUUUAAGGAUGCUUACAUUCCUCUCCGAUACACCUAUU
rnacentral:lncRNA from 1 species